rnacentral:rRNA from 1 species
CGCAUCUGUGCAUGCAGCAUAUCAAUAAGCGGAGGAAAAGAAACUAACAAGGAUUCCCCUAGUAACGGCGAGUGAAGCGGGAAGAGCUCAAAUUUGAAAUCUUAAAGGGUUUCCCUUUACGAAUUGUAGUUUAAAGAAGUGUUUUCUGUUGAGGUUUUGGUAAAAGUUCUUUGGAAUAGGACAUCAUAGAGGGUGAGAAUCCCGUAUUUGACCUUUACUUUCAACUUUGUGAUACACUUUCAACGAGUCGGAUUGUUUGGGAAUGCAGUCCAAAAUGGGUGGUAAAUUUCAUCUAAAGCUAAAUAUUGGCGAGAGACCGAUAGCGAACAAGUAGCCGUGAGGGAAAGAUGAAAAGAACUUUGAAAAGAGAGUUAAACAGUACGUGAAAUUGUCAAAAGGGAAGCGUUUGACACCAGUGUUGUUUUUCUGAAAAUCAAUUAAAGAACUGUUUAUGCUAAGUUGUUUAGACUUUAUCAGCUAUCUGUUUAGUUUUGAGCUUUUCUUUAAUGCACUUUUCAGUUAACAAGUCAACAUCAAUUUCUUUUGCUGUAAAAAAGCUUGAGGAAGGUGGCUUGAGAUUCGUCUUAAGUGUUUAUAGCCUCUUGCCUAUGCAGUCGGAGAGAUUGAGGUCUGCAGCGUAGAUCCUUCGGGGCUAAAUGCAUUUGUGCUAAGUUAUAGCAUUUUAUAGACAACUUGUUGACUAUGAUUUGUCUUGUAGCUUACUCGCUUAUGUUAUUUUACCUACGCUUAGGAUGUUGAAUCUGUGCGAGACUA